GCAGUGAGGAAUAUUGGUCAAUGGCCGAGAGGCUGAACCAGCCAAGUCGCGUGAGGGAAGACGGCCCUACGGGUUGUAAACCUCUUUUGUCGGGGAGCAAAGCGAGUCACGUGUGACUCAUUGAGAGUACCCGAAGAAAAAGCAUCGGCUAACUCCGUGCCAGCAGCCGCGGUAAUACGGAGGAUGCGAGCGUUAUCCGGAUUUAUUGGGUUUAAAGGGUGCGUAGGCGG
rnacentral:rRNA from 1 species